AUGUCUUUCUUCAAUUUGAAUUUGACUUUUAUGAUUGCGGGUGCAUUGUUGCUGAGCAUUGCUUCUUCUCCCACCACUAGAGAACUGAACAAGGGUUGCAUGGUGGCUGCUGCUGGAGGGGUUCAAUCGCGGUUUCAACGAAAUCUGAAGGAUGGCGCGACUUGGAAGAAUGUUGACGAAGGCUAUGAUAUCGUGGUUACAAUUCGAGUGGAACCUGAGAGAUUAACGGUGUCUUCGUUGUUGAUCAGAGUUUACGGUGUCGGUGUUGCGGCGAUUACAGUGAUUUUGCAAUUGUAUUAA